ensembl:snoRNA Gm23965 predicted gene, 23965
AGUGGCUUAAAAGAUAUAUUAACCAUGUCCCCGGGUAGCUGCUGUGUCAUGUGUGCAUCAGUGGGUACCAGAGAGUAAAGAUGCUAUGCCUAUGCUCAGUGUUCUGACCUGUGAACAUCUGAAUGUUUAGUAGUCUAAUACU